rnacentral:lncRNA from 1 species
CCCCCCCAUCCUUUCCUAUGAGAAGCCACUGCUUUGGGGGCGCCGGCUAAAAAAAAUAGGGUGCGGUGGCCAGGAGGGCCCCUGCCGCGCGGGGGGCUGGGUCUGGUUGAGUCGCUGCUUUCCCGAGGGCAGCGCAGGGAUCCGGGGAAGCUGCGGCAGGGAGCGGGCCCCGGCUCCGUGGCUUUGAGGUGUAACGGGGGUGGGCUCCCUCCCUCGGAGGACAUCGUCUGUGUCCAGGUCAGAAAGUGGCCCAGGAAGGGGGCAGUUUCUGUCGCGGGUCCGGUGGGGGCGCGGCCGCGGUGCGGUCGGUGCAGCGUGGCCAAUGCGCGGCGCGCGCGGGGGACAGAGCAGGAGGCGGUCGGUCACCUCGGCCACUGCUGACCUGGGCUGGCCUCCCCCAGCCCUCCCGUGGCGGAGCCGGCAGCGAUGCUACAGGCCUAAGUUAUUGUUUGCAUAAAAAGAAUCAUGUUCCCUGUGUACAUUUAAGAAAAAAAAAAAAACGGAAAUGUCAGAAUUGUAUGGAAAUAAAACUUGUUUGAAAAUUUGGAAUAGUGCUGCUGCCAGCUUAUUUUUCUGGUACUUGUAUUUUCACAUGUUAAAUGAUCUUUAUAUAUGUUGAAUUAACAAAUAUUUUGAGUUUCUGAGAAAAAACAAAACAUAUUAAUGGUAUUGAAAUGUGUUAGUAGUCUGGCUGUGUGCCCAAAAUUCUGUUUCGCAGCAAAAGUGAAGACCUGUAUGUAAAGAAAGUAUAACAAUUAUUUCUUUGUAUUUUAGGGGCUUUAACCGGAACAUCGUCUAGCUGGUGUUAGGAAUGUUUGCUUAAUUUCCAGACUUUUUUUAAAAAAACACAUCGUGGGUUUUUUGAGGCUCCAACCUGAUUAGUGCAUGGUCAGCCCUCAAUGAAGGCUGAGGCAUCUCUGACUGAGGUGUUUUUGUUUGGUUUUGUUUUUUAAAAUCAUGUAUUUGCUACAAAGUAUUGUACUUGUCUCAAUGGGAAUGGUGUAAAAAACAAAAGGCCUUAUGUGAUCUGUAUCAUAGUUAAUAAAUCAAUCUUGUAAAAAACCAAA